UACGUAGGGUGCGAGCGUUAAUCGGAAUUACUGGGCGUAAAGCGUGCGCAGGCGGUUCGCCAAGUCAGGUGUGAAAUCCCCGGGCUUAACCUGGGAAUUGCGCUUGAAACUAGCGGGCUUGAGUGCGGCAGAGGGGGAUGGAAUUCCGCGUGUAGCAGUGAAAUGCAUAGAUAUCGUCAAGAACACCGAUAGCGAAGGCAGCUUACUAGACUGUAACUGACGCUGAGGCACGAAAGUGUGGGGAUCAAACAGG
rnacentral:rRNA from 1 species